GCCUGGGUGGCUUAGUUAAGCGUCUGACUUGGGCUCAGGUCAUGAUUUCACAGUUUGUGGGUUCAAGCCCCACGUCAGGCU
rnacentral:tRNA from 1 species